rnacentral:rRNA from 1 species
AUUGAACGCUGGCGGCAUGCCUUACACAUGCAAGUCGAACGGCAGCACGGGUGCUUGCACCUGGUGGCGAGUGGCGAACGGGUGAGUAAUACAUCGGAACAUGUCCUGUAGUGGGGGAUAGCCCGGCGAAAGCCGGAUUAAUACCGCAUACGAUCUACGGAUGAAAGCGGGGGACCUUCGGGCCUCGCGCUAUAGGGUUGGCCGAUGGCUGAUUAGCUAGUUGGUGGGGUAAAGGCCUACCAAGGCGACGAUCAGUAGCUGGUCUGAGAGGACGUCCAGCCACACUGGGACUGAGACACGGCCCAGACUCCUACGGGAGGCAGCAGUGGGGAAUUUUGGACAAUGGGCGAAAGCCUGAUCCAGCAAUGCCGCGUGUGUGAAGAAGGCCUUCGGGUUGUAAAGCACUUUUGUCCGGAAAGAAAUCCUUGGCCCUAAUACGGUCGGGGGAUGACGGUACCGGAAGAAUAAGCACCGGCUAACUACGUG